rnacentral:lncRNA from 1 species
UGGAGUGGUAUGAAGAGGGAUAUUGUAGAGUUCGUAGCUAAGUAUCGUAAUUGUCAGCAAGUUAAGGUUGAGUACUAGUGUCACGCCCCAAAAUCCCAUCGGGCCGGACUGGCACCCGAAGCCGAGAAGGCCCGGGAGAACCCGUUCAAAUACCUGUACUUUCACUUAUAUGUCACCAAAAAUUUGGACAGCACUUCGUUGCAUAUAGAAGGGUCUAAUUACCUAUAUCAGCACAACACGCACAAAUAUAUAUAUAUAUUACGUAGCCGUCGGGGCCACCACAUAUACAAAUAUAACAUCACUAUAUAAACUUCCAUGACUUUACCCUUCCUUAUGUCUACAAAGCCUCUCGGAUAUACAUGACAUAAAUAGGGUCGGGACAAACCCCCC